AGGCCAUCCAUCCUUCCCCACAGAGCAUUACUGAGCAUUAAAUGUCAUAUUUACAUAUUCAGUAGCAGUUAAUCCCAGACAUGCAUCUGUGGAUAGGAGAGAGCUACACGCUUUCCUGAUAAUCUGGUUUCAUAUGAAGACAAAAGUUAAAGUAGGACAGACGAGUGAUAAUCUACCAAAGAUUUUGAGUAGAGCAUUCUUAACAUUCCCAUUCUUCCACUGAGAGCAGGACAAAAUCAGAAUUCCUGGCCAGAACUACGGCCACAAGAGCUGGUGUGAGAGAAAGAUUAUGAAAAGGUGUGCCCAAGAAUGUGCAAAUG